GGGGCUGUAGCUCAGCUGGGAGAGCGCCUGCUUUGCACGCAGGAGGUCAGCGGUUCGAUCCCGCUUAGCUCCA
rnacentral:tRNA from 1 species